rnacentral:rRNA from 1 species
GAUGAACGCUGACAGAAUGCUUAACACAUGCAAGUCUACUUGAAGUAACUUCGGUUAUGGAUGGUGGCGGACGGGUGAGUAACGCGUAAAGAACUUGCCCUUUAGCCUGGGACAACUGUUGGAAACGACAGCUAAUACCGGAUAUUAUGAAACCAAGGCAUCUUGGAUUUAUGAAAGCUAUAUGCGCUAGAGGAGAGCUUUGCGUCCUAUUAGCUAGUUGGUGAGGUAAUGGCUCACCAAGGCGACGAUAGGUAGCCGGCCUGAGAGGGUGAACGGCCACAAGGGGACUGGGACACGGCCCUUACUCCUACGGGAGGCAGCAGUGGGUAAUAUUGGACAAUGGACCAAAAGUCUGAUCCAGCAAUUCUGUGUGUUUGAUGAAGGCCUUCGGGUUGUAAAGAACUUUAAGUAGGGAAGAAGAAAGUGACGGUACCUACAGAAUAAGCGACGGCUAAAUACGUGCCAGCAGCCGCCGUAAAAC